rnacentral:tmRNA from 1 species
GGGGCCGACCUGGUUUCGACAGCGGCUUCGUGGAACGUGUAAGCAUGCAGAGCAUCGGGGAACGGCUCUAUAAUCCCUUCUCCAAGCCUUAACCGGCAACACUGAUUACGCACUUGCUGCCUAAUAGCCCAAGGCUAUGAAGCUUCUCCCGUGAAGAACAGUAACGGGGGCAAGUACUCCUCGGGGAGGCCCGCAACCCUCCUUCCCGGCCCAGGGGUAUCAACCAUGGGAGGCUGGCCAACGCGGUGGUCCGAAGCGUUGGUGAGAAAACAGGACCUAAGCCGUCGCUAGGGUGCCCUUCCCCGGGCUGCGGUCGAAAACCAAGGAACGGAUAAGCAUGUAGAAAGCUCGUGGCACGGUCGUUUGGACGAGGGUUCGAAUCCCUCCGGCUCCACCU